ACCACAAGAGACACAUACUGGGUUAUAAAUGUCGAACUAAAAAGAGGUAUUGGAAAGAAACAAAGUCUAACUUUUCAUUGGAUAGUUUAAUUGUUUUUUUAAAUCUUACUAGUUCACAGUUUACUCCCAAACUAAACAAAAUCUCUGGGAAUUAUUAUGAUAAUCCUGGGUUCCACCUUUUGGAGUUUUAAAAAGCAGGAAAAAAAAAAUCAUCUGUGGUUUUUUUUUUUUUUAAUCUUUAAGUAACCUCUCCACCCAAUGUGGGGCUCAAACCCACAACCCCGUGAUCUACCGACCGAACCAGCCAGGCACCCCAAAAUCUCUGGAUUCUUACCUACCACUCUCCUAUCUUUUCGGGAAGACAAGGGGGAUGAGAGUCUCUGCCUGCCAGGCAGGACAGUGCAGAGCAAGUAACUUGGAUCAGCCUCAGCAAACAGUGGAGAAAACAGCAUUUUCUAAGAAUGUCUUUGCUGACAACAUUACAGAAAAUGUCCUUUUCAAAUGAACUGGAAUGAGUCUGCCUGUAAAUGGACAGAUAACAGAGUGUUUCUAAAGGUACAAAGAAGAACCUGACAGUUUCCAGAAGACAGAGACAUGCACAGAUGGCCAAGUACCAAAGAAGAGCCUGACCAGUGACAUGAUAAGGAUCUAAAAGACAGACAGCGGGAGAACAGGGGAAACAGAGAUUGACCUCCAAUGGUGACGACGGAAAGCUGUAGCAAAGGUUUGGAAAUGACCUGCGAGAAUGAAGAAGAGAAUCACCUGGGGACAGACGCAUUAAGAGAAUGUUGGCUACACUCAUGAAGGAGAGAAAUAAAUAGUCUGUUAACAAGCGGAGACUGUGAUUCAGGAGGGCAUUCUAGGAUGCCCACAUGAGAACAAAGAAACAGGUGAGGACGAACUGCUAUGAGAAAUGCGGAGGGAUGCAGCUGACCAGCAAGUUCUUAAAGCAGAAGUGUGGCUGUUAAGGAAAAGACGGGGUAUUCAGUGAGAACUAAUGAAAAGAAUCGGGACUUGUGACGAAAUGUGUCACCUGAGUGCCAUCUCCCAGUGAAACUUGGGCGGAGCGAAGAGCCAUGAAGGAACUAUUGUGGGCCCUUGUUUCCUCAACCCCACACAGACUUAGCAGAAUGAACACUGCUAAGACAUCAGCUGCCAUCCAGAUUGGCUCACACCUUCAGAGUGGAGCCCAAGGGCACCAGAACCACCUUCUAUACAGAAAAAGGUUCUGGUCCCACGGCAGCCCAAUCCGUAGCACCGUGGUCUGGGCUUUCAAACGCCACGGUCAGCCGGAAAACUGCAUCCUCAAAGAGCUACUUUCAUCACAUCUAAGAUGCCAUCGACAACAGAGGACGAAAUUAUGUUAUGCAUCACUUAGAAAUCAGAGAUGCUCCAAAAUAAGGAAUCAGAUAGAAGAGGGCCAUGGACAACCAGGACACCAGAAGGUCACAUUCUCUGGGGAAGGGCAAAGAAGAAACCAGCCUGCCGGGCUGAAGGAGUCAGCAGGGAGACGUGCACGUCUGCAGCUCGUGACUGGGUGAAGGAGGAAACUGGGUGAUGAGGAAACAAAUCUCUGCCGAGAGUCUGAACCAUCGCUGGUACUGCACCCAAACCACCAGUGUGGCACCAGGAAACCUCCAGCAGACAACAUACACUCAAGGGCUUUCAGACAGAGAGUGUCCCCAGGUGGCUAACACAAGUAAACACAACCCCAGAAAUCCCUUCCGGAAGAAGUGGACUUGAAUCCAGGCUGACAAGCCCUCAAACAUGCUAUCAACUAUACAAUGCACUCUGAUUUCAGUGAAGGAGGCAAGUACUGGGUGGGUGGGGAGAGAAAUGUGUGCGUCUGGAAAUUUUAAAAUGCAGUAGCUAUUUUCCUAAAAAGAGUAAGAUGAUGCUAUACAUGGUUCUGGGGCACUCCUCAAGUAUUUAUUAGUAUAUAUCCACUAUAUGCAUAACACAGAUUUCAAAGCAAUUGAAGGCAUGACCCUGCUCACAAAUGGCUUGUUUCUAUCUGAUUUACUUUUGGAUUAUUAUGUUUAUAGUGUGGUCACAAAAUGGUUAGACGGGUAAAUACACACACCCCUCAUUUUGGGUCUGCUUUUUUAUGGUCUAGCAUUGGAAAGGUGUCUGUGCGAAAUCAGUUCUAAUGGAAGUAAACUUAUUCUCAUUCCUCCAAUUUCAGCAAAAUUCGAUAAACGACAAAGUACUUUAUGAUUACUUUGGUUAGUUUUUGCUCAAAAUAACAGUAUUACGCCCAGCAUGUGGGAUAUGCAAUUUUGAUCAUUUGGUUAAAAUCUGCAGCAUAAGUAAAUAUGAUUAACUUCUAUAUUGGGCAGCAAAGUUUGAAGAAACUUCAUCCUUAUGGCUUUUUUUUUUUUUUAAGAUUUCAUUUAUUUAUUUCACAGAAAGAGAGGAAGAAAGAAAUAGCGAGAGAGAAAGAGCACAAACAAAGGGAGCAGAAGGCAGAGUUGAGAAGCAGGCUCCCUGACAAAGCAGGGAGCCCGAAGAUGCAGGACUCGAUCCCAGGACCCUGGGACCAUGACCUGAACCGAAGGCAGAUGCUUAACUGAGUCACCCAUGUGAUCCAAGGCUUUUUUUUUUUUUUUAACUAUAAUAUUAGAAAUCACUAGAGCAACUUUUUUUCAUUAAUCAGCUUUGAAAGGGGACAUCUAAUUUCCUGGGCAAGAGAGAUCCAAACUCUUGCAUACAAAGAGGUAGCAGGGCUAGCUUAGUAACAACUCACUGAAAAACUGCUAGCAUUAGUUGCAUCCUUACCCAUGACAGAGUCAGUAUUUACUAGUGCUGGGAUUAUUACACAUACAUAUGCCAAAACCCAGCCCCAAGGGAUCCUUGCACAAAAAGUCUCUUGUUACCUGAUGCUACUUCUUGGGAAAUGGUCUGUUGUCACCUCCUGAAGGAAUACAGGCUUCUCCUCCGAAGACAGUGGCUUGGUUUCCUACUUUGGUACUUCUCUUACAAUGCCCUCAAUCCCCACUCGUGUUCAGGAAAUCAUUUAAAAUGGACAAAAUGCUUGACAUGGUAACCGCUCACAAGCAAACAUGAAGACUGUCAGAGAAUAAGCUAUAUACAAAUUAUACACAUUCCAGAUACAGAUUCUCCCCUUGCACCUGGACUAGCUCACACUGGAUCAUUCUUUCAUGGCUCUUCUCCAAGUGUACCCUAUUCUCAACCUUAGCUGGAACAGAGACCUCUGUCUGCCUCCUGGGACAUGAAGGACCCCAAAAUUCUUGCCUGGGUCUGGUCCUGAUCCCCUGGAUCCUUGCUGCCACCACAGCCAAGAUUCCCAAGUCUCCUCAGACUCUGCCCAUACAGGUGACAUGGCCCCUGAUGUCAACUCAGGGCUGCAGGGUUUUGAAGGCUUCAGGUGUUUUUUACACUUGUCAUUCUGCUAGUAGGUUCUAGUUUCUUCUUUGUUGGACAACGCUCUGCCAGAAUCACUACCUAAAAGUUUCUAGUUGCCCACCCUGGUACCUCCCACCCACCCAGAAGACCAAUUUUCUUCAGGGAGUCAGUAAUCUCAGCAUUUAAAUCCUGACCUGUGUUCUCUCAGGUCUUACCGGUAUCCCUAUAACUGUCUCUCAAGCCAGACUUAUGCAAACAACUUGAAAAUGGUUCUGGGGAAGCACUUAGAAAAUUGUCACAAGACAACAACAUAUAUAAUUAUGGAGACAGACAUUCUGGAAUGUAACUCUAUAAGUGGGUUAAAAAAAAGAGAUUUCAAAAAAUAAAGUUAAGGAAACAAAAAGCUGACCUCAUAGUGAAUACAUAAAACAAUGAAAAGCAGGGAGGAGGUGGGGUUAUUAAUUUCUGAAAGGAGGAAUGAAAAAAAAGAUUUUUAAAAAAAGAUUUUAUUUGUUUGAGAGAGACAGAGAAAGAGAGCGUGCCCGAACAGAAGCAGAGGAAGAAGCAGACUCCCCACUGAGCAGGGAUCCCAAUGCGGGGCUCGAUCACAGGACCCAGGGAUCAUAACCUGAGCCAAAAUCAGAUGUUUAACCGACUGAGCCACCCAGGUGCUCCAAGAAGAUCCUUCGUAAAGAGGCUCGACCAGCACUGGCAACACCUGAAGCCUAAUGCAGAGAACUAUCACUUCCAUUGAAUGUGGGACUCUUGAACCAAGAUGGUAAAACUGCGCAGAUACAUUUUUAAAUCCAUGAGGUUGCUGGGCAGCUCUAGAUGAAAGAGAAAAACAAAUCCAAGCUGGUGCUCUGCUUGGAAUAGCUUCACAACCCACUCCCCAAAUAUUAUUCUGUACACCCAAUUUAUUUUUACUUUCUAGCAUAUGUUAAUUACACUAUAGUUUUUUUUCAAUUGUCAAUAUAAAACAGUGUCAUUAUUCAUUUCCUACAGUGCCCUGUACACAGGUAUUUUCUUGAUUAUAUGAAAAGGGACAACAUUUUUAGGUUAAAUUUGCUCUGUUUAUCAACCACAUUAAUAUGUUGUUCUCUUCCCUUUUUUAUUGUUUAACAUAAAAUAAAUUCAUACCUAACUACUAUAUGUUAUAUUUUAAAGUAGUGAUUGGCGUGUGUGUGUGUGUGUGUGUAUGGUGUGUGUACAUAUACUCCUUGGAACAGUGCCUGGCACACAGCAAAUAUUCAAUA